rnacentral:sRNA from 1 species
UUACAUGAAGUUAUUUCCUUUUUCCAGUCUAUAUUUAUUUAUGUCUAUGGUUUAAAACAUCAUUUUGAAAAUAAAGGAACAUAAUUGCAUUAAGAAACACUGUCUAUAAAAACAUCAAUACCAUUAUGUUCAUUCUUUUCUUUGAAACCUAUUAAUAGUUUUACAUGUAUAUGGCUGCUACUUAGAAACUUCAAUAACUUUCCUUUGUUAAUUAGUUACAAACUGAAAAGCUCAACAAAUAUUCAACUGCUUAGAACCUAAAAUGUACAAUUAUGAAAGUGAUAUUAAAUGAAAAGGAUAAAAAAAAAAGAUAUAUCAUUUAUAAAAUAUUUUAAUUAUUGGAACUGGAUUUGAUGAAACCAAAAUGUUCACAACAAAUGAAAAACUUGAUCAAAAGUAAAACUUUUUUCUAUCAGCUAUGAGAGCCAGUGAUGCAAAUCACACUAUUGGCAGGUUGAAGGAGAAUAAAAACAAACAGCAAAACCUUAGCAAUUCUGCACUUUCCUUGGAUUCAGUCUAUUCUAGUGCCUACAAUACAAGGCUGAUUUUUUGUAGGCUAAAAACUUGGACAUUUUGUAAACACUAAAAAUAAAAUAUAGAGGAUGCAGCCAGUGAUGUUUUAAAAGAAACAAAAAACCUAUGCUGACUAACAAGCAAAUAUUUCAAUACCCGGUACUAAUUCAUUGCCUUCUAUUAAGUGUCAAGUACAUUUCAUUACUAUUUAAUGGAAGGCCUGGAUACACAACAUCAGAACACUAGGUGAUAUAACAGGCAGAGCAAGACAAAGGAGGUGAAAUCAGACUAACUUUGCAUUUUCAACAUGUAAAGCCAACAUGAGAAAUUUUAACAGUUAAUGACCAAAGCAAGAAGCUCAGCACAAGAUACACACCAUAAUAUCAGUAUGUACAGGAAAUAGUGCAAUUUUUAUCAGUCAGCCAUUUUGAGAAAAUAAAAUAAAUGUGUUUAAUAUAUUGAUUUGUACAAUUCUACAAGGAUAAAUUUAUUAUACUUUGGCUAAGUGUUUAUCAACCUCUACUGACAAACAAAUUAAUUUUUGCAUUUCCCUUACCUCUGGAAGCUCCUCAGUGGGAACAGGGGGCCUAACCUUUUUCAAGAUGUUUGGUGUUUUAAGUGCAUUAUAUCUCCUAGUAAAAUAGAGUACUGCACGGAUUUAGAAUGGGCUUGAUCAUUGUUAGAUUAUUCUCAUUGUCAGAAGAUAUCUUGUAGCAGGAUGUUUCAAUCACACAAAAAGGCUUAAACAGAAUGAAGGUAAAAUAUCCAGGAAAAUCUCUACCAUUCUGAUGUGAGAAAAAUUAUAAUCACUUUAGCAGAAACAUAUUGAAAUUUCUUCCAAAAAAAAGACAACAAAACAUUUUGUGUUGAUAAGCUGAGGAUUCUUCUAGCAAAUAAGUUAUGAAAAAUCCUACUAAGAAAAUAAAAUCAUAUAUCCUAAUAUAAUUAGUUUAACAUUAUUAAACAUUGCGAAAAAUGAAACAGAUUUUUUUCUCCGUAGAAAAAAAUGGCCGCCUUUCUGCUCCCCUUGGUUGAGAAAUGCAGCUUAAUCUAGAAAUAUUGACCUGCAUUAUAGACACCAUUGAAACAAUCUAGCUCUCAAGUUUAAAGCAACAAAGAAAGGAAGAUGUGUAUUUAGUUUGGUGUCUCAUUUUGAUUGCUAAACAAUUUGUCUUUUGGUGGGCAAUAAAGGGAAGCAAGUGAUGACAAGUAGUAGCAGCCGUGCCAUUCAAGCCAAUAAAACAAUCUAUUAUUUGCUUUACACGACAUGCUUCAAAUGUGAUGAUCAUUUUUCUCUAUAGAGAAUAUAACAUAAAAUAAGUCUUUUGAUAAGGUUGAAAGAAAUCCCUAAUUGUUCUAAACAGUACAGCAAUGUUCUCAACUUGUAAUGAAAACAAACAAAAUACUGCAAUCAAAAUGAUCUUUGUGUAGAGCUAUGUGGAGAUCAAUUCAUUCUUUACACAAUUCUUGUCGCUAUUUUGAAGAUCCAAGUAGUCAGUACCCAAAACUAAACCAUGCAAUAGAAUGCUACAUACAACAUUUAAAUGUAUAGCUGCCUGGCACUUAUUGUUGUUCACAAAUAUAUUUUGUAUCCUUCUGUAAAAGAUAUAGUAGAUAUGGUAAUGUGUAACCAUGUAAGCUUUAUUACCUCAAUACAAAUAUAUAUAUUUUUUGCAGAAACAAUUAUAUUGUUGGUUAAACAUUCGAUAUAAAACACCAAUAAAAUGAUAGACCUCAUAAGCUCUUCAGGGCCCUAAUAUAAUUACUAUAUAAUUUAGUUUUCCUAUUCUUCCUUUCUUCUUUAAAUAUGUUAAAUAUCCUUCUGACAAGACUAACUAAAAAGCUAAAAUUAAGAAAAAAAAUAAAUUCUAACCUGUUUUUACAAUACAUCUUAAAGCCCAGUACCCUAUUUAUUAUUAUAAAUUGUGAACAACAAAUUGAUUGGAGAGUACAGUUGCAUAAACAAACAAAUAGAAUAUAUUCUUGUCAUUUCUACAUAUAGUGCUGGUGAUGGUGAAUCAUCAAGUCACCAAGCACCUGAAUUGAAAUUAACGGGGUCAGUAUAAACUGUAACCUAUUCAAAUACUGGUAUUAUUCAGGAAAAUUUAUCAAAAGAAUAUGUAACUUUAACUAUGUGGACAGUACAGUUAUGUAUCAUCAUUGAUAUGUUGACAUGCUAAAGUGUGUGUGUGUGUGUGUGAAACCAAUGUUCGUAACUCCUUCAGGUUAAAAGCUGCAUUUGUGAAUGUAGAUAAGCAAGUCCACUGCUUCAUUCAACUUUUUUCCCCACAUGUAACUCCAAAGUACUAUCUUGAUCAAUAAAUCAUAUCUAAAAAUGUUCUAAUAGUAUUAAAAAUGUACCAAUGUGUAAGUCUGACAGACCAUUUCUCUAGCUAACUUGUACUACACAAUCAAGAUUUGCAGUAAGGGUUGAAAACAAUAAAGAAGUACAAGUGCUAUGGACAAUUAAAAGCUGAUUUUGCUCUGUCAAAGUUGUCCCUAAUUACUGUGUGGACAUUUUUCAUUGCUUUGUGAUGAAGCCAUAUACAGCAUAUUGUGACCACCACCACAAAUGAGUAUUUUUAACUUUUCUGCAAUGAUUUUCACACCAAUAGCUUUUGAUGCAGCCUACACUUUGAAGUUACUAUAAGUGAGCAAAAUUUGGCUUGAAUAAAAUUUUUUUUUUUUUUUAGCUAUUUUAAAUGUAUUCCUUUAAUAAAGUUGUAUUGCCUUCAUCUGUUGGUUUGGAAUGAUUAAUAAUGAGUAGUGAAGUUUUUCAAUUGAAGCUUCUCUACAGAAAACAUAUUUUAUGUAAAAAGCUUCCCAGACUGCAAACAAGUGACCACAAAAAACAUACUGUAGUUGAAAACUGACAAAGGUAGACAAUGUUUGUGUAUUUCAUAAUGUCUGAAUAAUCUCCAUCAAUAAACAUCUUUCCUCGAUUAAAAUAUUUUUUUGUAUAAAAUUGUGGAAGACGUGAAAAUUUUGUUAAAAGUCUCAAUGUCAUCCAUUUUAUACAUUGAAAUAAUGCUACCGGUACAAAUAUAACAAAGUUUUUACACUUCCUCUUUUCAUCUUGCCAAGUCAAAAAGAAAAGUAAAGACAAAAAGUUUCUUAGAAAUUUUGACAGCUGGUCUAUAUCCUUGGGAAAAGAAUUACUAGCUAAUUGACCACAUUGAGAAAACUCUGGUGUGACCAUUAGAAUUUUUCAAAGUAUAGUAAAAAAUCAACUUAAAUUUGGCUAGCGGUCUAAACAAUCUACCUUGAACAGACAUGCGACAGUUGGCUUUUCUCCUUGUAGGACUCUUCGUUAAAGAAUUAAUAAAUCAAAAGGCGUUCAGGAACUAUUAAGUCUAUCAUAAGAAUUUUAUAUACUUUUGACUAGUGCAUUGGCUUAACCAGGAUUUUUUUUGUGGGUAAAGGGACGAGGCGGGGGUAAAAAAUGUUCUAUUUUUGUUGAAAUCUAUCAUUCAUUAGUAAUUGAGAGUAAAACUUUUGCUCUUACGAAACAGUCAUCAGCUCGAUAAAGAAGGAACUGUCUUUUUAAAAAUUAUUUUUUAAAUAUUUUACUUGUUUUGUCUAAUGUGAAUGUUUGUUGAAUUACAUUUUAAAUGCAAUUUUCUUUGUCUUUUAGGAAUGCACAUCUGACAAGUCACUAUAACAAAACAUAGUAAAAAAAAUAUAA